GCAUAGGGUGAGUAUUCUCUCCAUUCGUUUACUUCUCACAUUUUUUUUAUUUAUUUUUUCUACUCAACCUUUUACUAGGAGCAAAUUAUUUUAUUAUCUAUCUAUCUAUAUAUACUAAAGGUUGGUGGACUUUCCAACUCAAACCCUAAUUCCCCCUUCAAAACCCUACUGCCUUAUGUCAUGUGUGAUAUCAUGCUGAUGUAAUCAUUUGCAUCAAUUUUAUUGGACCUCUACUAGCACCAAUUGGAGAACUUCAAGUGUCUACCAUAAUUCAUCAUUUAACAAGUUUAUUUCUCUUUCUUCUCAGCUACUCUCUCAUUUUGUCUCACCAUCCUCACACUUUCAUCUCUCUCUAUUCUCAAUAUCUCUUUCUCUAUCUAUAUAUACUAAAGGUUGGUGGACUUUCCAACUCAAACCCUAAUUCCCCCUUCAAAACCCUACUGCCUUAUGUCAUGUGUGAUAUCAUGCUGAUGUAAUCAUUUGCAUCAAUUUUAUUGGACCUCUACUAGCACCAAUUGGAGAACUUCAAGUGUCUACCAUAAUUCAUCAUUUAACAAGUUUAUUUCUCUUUCUUCUCAGCUACUCUCUCAUUUUGUCUCACCAUCCUCACACUUUCAUCUCUCUCUAUUCUCAAUAUCUCUUUCUCUCUCUCUCUCUGUCCUCCUCAUCUCAUCCUUAUGCUCUCAUCUCUCAUAUCAGUAUCAUCAUCUAGCAAAUUCAAACCAAGAUCAACUCAAAGUUCACAUGCAAGUGUAGAUUUGUAAUCCUUGAAUCUUGGGCUUUUAAGAAAGGUAAACAUCAAAUCAAUCUCUUCAUUCCUUCUAAAAUUCGUGCCUUUUAAUCAAGCCUAACAUUGAGUUUCAUCUUGCAUAUGAGCUUCAAGGAUCAAGGAGCCAUGAUUAAGGGAUUUGGAGUAAUUUAGAAGAACAUUGGUGACCAUGGCUGGUGAGACAAACAACUGGUUUAUGAAAACAACUGGUUUAUACAAACAGUUGGCUGGAUUGCUGGUUUAUGUAAACUAUUGGAUGCAUGUUGCUCCUAAUGAUAUCAUUCCAUUCUUCUAUUGCUAGCAAACAAGCAGAAACAGAGUCCUCAAUUUAUCCAUUCAACAUCCAUUCUCGUCCGCUCCCCUCGUGGUACGCCACCAUCCCUCCCAUCUCUUCCAUUUUUUCGCUUCUUCCUCUGCAGAAGAAGCUGCGGCAGAGCGCCGUCGUUACAAGCACCGUCUCCUCUCCCCCUUCUCGCCCGCUCCCCUCGUGGUACCACCACCGUCCCUCUCAUCUCAAUCACAGUCCGUUUAUUUUGUUUCUUCCUCUGCGGCAGAGCGCCGUCGUUACAAGCGUAGUCUCCGUAUCAAACUUCCUUUGAACACAAUUCGUCCUCCUCCUCAUCAACAUCAUCUCUCUCUCAUCAAGAUGGCAAAUCUCUGUGUAAGGGAAUGAGUAAUUUCCUUAAGAGAAGGAACAAAUGUGAAACAGUACCAAGUAGAUAAGUAAGGUCUUGGAUGCCACCCUUGAAGAUUUGGAGUUUUGAUAUGUGAUUUCUUGAAUCCAUAAUGGGACAAGAGUGAGUAACAUGAAAUUUGAUUUGAGGGUAGUUUUGUUUCAGUUUCAAUUAUUGCUUUUGACCGUGUAGCUUCUACCGUCAAGUCUGCAGUUGAUAUUCAAACACCGGGUGAUCUUAUAACUCUUACUGCUGCAGCUGCAACAGCUUUGAGAGGAGAAGCAGCUUUGAUAGCGAGAUUUCCAAAAGAAGCAAAGAAGAAUGCAUCAAUAAGUCCCUAUGAUAAGGGAAUAGCAGAAACACAAUGUCCACAUGCUUUUGCUUUUGAGGGUCAGAUGUUAGAAAUUUUUUCUCCAUGUGUGGAUGAUUUGUUGCAGGUUACAGAAAAAGGUGCAUUACGAUGGAAACAUGUGUCUGUUUACAUCAACAAGAAAUAUUAGGUCAAAAUUAAGAUCAAAAGCAAACACAUUGGAGGAGCUUUCUCCAAAAAGAGUAAAUGUGUGGAUUAUGGAGUGUGUAAUGAAGACUCGGCAUGACCAUAUCAAAAAGAAAGGGAAGCUUCUGAAGAGCUCUAUUUUGGCCUCAAAACUGCACAAGGUCUUCUAGAAUUUAAGUCUGAGAGCAAACUCCAAAAGCAAAAAUGGGUUGAUGGGACACUAUGCACUAUUUCGUAUCGUUUGAGAUUGCUCUUCUUUCUCGCUUUCUUUUGGCAUACCUGGCGACGUGAAUGAGUGAACAGGGAGCACACACAAGAUCAAAAGCAAACACAUUGGAGGAGCUUUCUCCAAAAAGAGUAAAUGUAUGGAUUAUGGAGUGUGUAAUGAAGACUCGGCAUGACCAUAUCAAAAAGAAAGGGAAGCUUCUGAAGAACCGCGGCAGCCUCCGACGUAGAUCCUGAGAGAUUCAGAUUUGCUGGUGAGACUUCAUUUGGAAAAAGACACUUGAGUUUCUGGACUAAAAAACCUGUCCUAAUUUGGAUUGUUUGUUUCUUCAGGCAAUUUGUAAGGUCAGUUCCUGAAGUGGAUUACUUGACCUUAAUGCAUGGAUUUAUUAUGGGAUGAGGGAGUGCAUUGCGGAAUACAGGAUGAUCUUUAUCUUUCUAGAAGCACCGUGGUGUAUUUUAAGCCCAAUGACAUGGAUUCUUUACAAGAAACUUUAGAGAACAUUACUUCUAAAUAUAAGCACACCAAGAAUUUGAGUCGUUAUAUUGUUGUUGAAGCUCUCUACCAGUGUGCUGCAGGUUAGAAAUUAGAUCUUAUAACUGCUGCUAUAGGACAUGCAUUGGCCACAGAAGGAAGAUUCUGCACCAGAAGUGCGAGAGUUACAAAUCACCAACGAUUGAGUAGCUCUGGCUACGUCUUUUCUGCUUCUUUGCCUCCAUAUCUCGCAAGUGCUGCAAUUACAGCUAUUGAUGUCCUCAAGGAAAAUCCCAGUCUGUUAACAAAGUUGAAGAAAAGCGUCGCUGUCUUACGGAAAGGUUUGUGCAGAAGUUGGUCAAUCCAGUAUAAAAACAGAAUUUUCUCAAGAAGAUGCAGAAUCUGAGUUUCUUAAUUACUCUAAAAAGUUGCUUCUGAAUUCUAUUGAUAAGGUUGAGAGGCUCUUUCAUAAGAAUUGGUGAAACUUUCACACAUUGAUGUCUAUGAAGUGAAGAAAAAAUUAGGAAAUUCUUGAAGCAUAGUUGAAGUUAAAGAGAGUUUUUAUCUGACAUUAGAAGUAGUGAUUUAGAGGUGAGGUAGAAAAGAAAUUUGGAUGAAAUCCUCUUCUAAUGAUAUUUCCAAUAUUCCAAUUGAUUCAUCGUAGGGUUUUGUACUCUCUCUUACAGUUACAAUGUACAAGAAGAAUGUUUCAUCAAAUUGUAUAGUGAUUUCCUUACUCGAAUUUAUUGGUUUUGGAAUUCAUGAUGAUGCUUUCUUUGAUAGGAUAUAUGAUAUAUGACUCUAUUAUUCAAAAGCAAGUUUUGCAAAUUAAUUGACUCACUUUUUUGAAUCAAUUGUAGACACAUGUAUGCGACCUGUGUUGUCAAAGAAGACAUAUUAGUGAAUUGUUGCUUGAAUUAUGUGAAACUGGGUGAUGAUUUGUUUGGAGUGGUAGCAUAGUAAAUGAUCAUUCAAGAGCAUUUUGCUUUGAGUGAUGAUUUGUUUGGAAUGGUAGCGUGAUCUCUUUCAAGAGCAUGUUUGAUUUGUGAGUAUAAGAUGUGAUUUAAACUUACUCAUUUACAUAAUUUAGUUUGAUUUAGCGUGAUCUCUAACUCGAAUGAUCCAAUUGAGCUUUGAUUUGUUUUUGAUGUAUUUUCCACCUAGGUACUCUGGUUUUCUCUCCACUUAUGUUUUCUUUCCAUUAGGCCAUUUUG